rnacentral:rRNA from 1 species
UCUCCUGGAAACGGGUGGUAAUGCCGGAUGCUCCAGUUGAUCGCAUGGUCUUCUGGGAAAGCUUUCGCGGUAUGGGAUGGGGUCGCGUCCUAUCAGCUUGACGGCGGGGUAACGGCCCACCGUGGCUUCGACGGGUAGCCGGCCUGAGAGGGCGACCGGCCACAUUGGGACUGAGAUACGGCCCAGACUCCUACGGGAGGCAGCAGUGGGGAAUAUUGCACAAUGGGCGCAAGCCUGAUGCAGCGACGCCGCGUGAGGGAUGGAGGCCUUCGGGUUGUAAACCUCUUUUAUCGGGGAGCAAGCGUGAGUGAGUUUACCCGUUGAAUAAGCACCGGCUAACUACGUGCCAGCAGCCGCGGUAAUACGUAGGGUGCAAGCGUUAUCCGGAAUUAUUGGGCGUAAAGGGCUCGUAGGCGGUUCGUCGCGUCCGGUGUGAAAGUCCAUCGCUUAACGGUGGAUCCGCGCCGGGUACGGGCGGGCUUGAGUGCGGUAGGGGAGACUGGAAUUCCCGGUGUAACGGUGGAAUGUGUAGAUAUCGGGAAGAACCACCA